GGCCAUAGCUCAGCUGGGAGAGCGCCUGCCUUGCACGCAGGAGGUCGGGAAUUCGAUCCUCCCUGGCUCCACCAAU
rnacentral:tRNA from 1 species